rnacentral:lncRNA from 1 species
GGCCCCAUUAGCUCUGGGUUGAUUAUUGGGCAGUAGAGUCAGGACAGUGAACAGUGGGACUGAAUCAGGGAGGGUGCUGAGAGUCAGUAGUUAGAGGUUUCAAAAUGGAGAAAUCAGAAAUCAGUGCAGGUUCCCAACACAGGGGAGCUAGGGGACUGUAGGAGUCAAGAUGAGUGUGAGCAGCUGUAAGGGUGUUUUACUUACGGAUUCUAAAUCAGGACCUUCAGAGCGGGGCUCUUUCUGGCUCAGUGUAAUCUGCAGCAUUUUGUUGCAUCCGACCAAUUAUAGAACUUUGAAUCAGCUGUAGGAAAAACAAACAAACAAACAAACAAACAACCAGGAGAAUUAUGGAUUAAGAUCUGGGUUUUCUUUUUUCUUCUUGCAAACAACAGAGAAUCAAGAUUCACUAGCCCUGUCCUCCUGAUGGGCGCAGCAACCUCUGGGAACUGAGUGACAGAUAUUUCCUUUAUUGGAGCAGAAACUUUCAGUGUGUGCCACUUUCCCUGACGGCCCUUGUGUUUGGCAGAUCUGCCCAGCUUCUAACCCAGCUUGCCUGCCUGGAUCCAUCAGAAACCUGCUUCUUUGCACACAUUCCCAGAGCUUCCACUGCCACCCGGCAGUGUCUUUCCUCGGGCUGCCAAUUCUUGCUUCCUGUCUCAGGACUUCUCUGGGAUGUCCACCCUCACCUACUCACCCAUCCUCAUGAAGCAGCCGAAAAACGUAGAGGAGGCGGCCCAUCACGGGGAUACCCAUGAGAAAUGGAGUGGCGGUCAACUGAGAGCAAGCUGCCCUCCGUGGUAAGUUUGCUAACAUGGCUUAUGUUAGCUUUCCUCGCAGUGAUCCCAUCCUCCAUCUUGG